rnacentral:rRNA from 1 species
GAUGAACGCUGGCGGCGUGCCUAAUACAUGCAAGUCGAGCGAACAGACGAGGAGCUUGCUCCUCUGACGUUAGCGGCGGACGGGUGAGUAACACGUGGAUAACCUACCUAUAAGACUGGGAUAACUUCGGGAAACCGGAGCUAAUACCGGAUAAUAUAUUGAACCGCAUGGUUCAAUAGUGAAAGACGGUUUUGCUGUCACUUAUAGAUGGAUCCGCGCCGCAUUAGCUAGUUGGUAAGGUAACGGCUUACCAAGGCAACGAUGCGUAGCCGACCUGGGAGGGUGAUCGGCCACACUGGAACUGAGACACGGUCCAGACUCCUACGGGAGGCAGCAGUAGGGAAUCUUCCGCAAUGGGCGAAAGCCUGACGGAGCAACGCCGCGUGAGUGAUGAAGGUCUUCGGAUCGUAAAACUCUGUUAUCAGGGAAGAACAAAUGUGUAAGUAACUAUGCACGUCUUGACGGUACCUAAUCAGAAAGCCACGGCUAACUACGUG